UAAUGGUAGCAGUCUGACGGAGCACGCCGCGUGAGCGAAGAAGGUCUUCGGAUCGUAAAGCUCUGUUGUCAGGGAAGAACAAGUACGAGAGUAACUGCUCGUACCUUGACGGUACCUGACCAGAAAGCCACGGCUAACUACGUGCCAGCAGCCGCGGUAAUA
rnacentral:rRNA from 1 species